GGAAAGGUCCCUGACCUCCGGAGGUCGGGAAUUUUUCCUCUCUCGAUCCGCCGCUGCUUCUCGCUCGCGCAACCGGAGUCGCUUCUCUCUCGCGCGAACAACAGCGGGCGCCGCCACGCCUCCUUCUCCGGCGAGACGCGCCACCGCCGAGACUCCUCCUCCGGCGAGAAGGUUAGCUCCCAAUCUCGCUCUCCGGUCUCAGCGCUUGCAUCGCAGGCACCAACGCGUGGGCGCGGCGGGUGGCACCGCGGCAGUUGGUGCAACGACGACGAGGCGGCGAGCCGGCAGCGCGGGCACACGGCUCCAAGCAGGCGGGGACAGGGGGGAUCCAAGGCGGCGCGACUCACUGGCAGAGGAGGCGCUGAGGCGCAGAUCCGCCUCCUCCUCCUCGCUGCGCGACGCCCGCCGGCGGUUGCCCGGCUAGUAUUGUACCCUGCAGUAGCAUUUCAUUUUGUUAUGGAAGCGAUUCAGAAGGGGAUAUGGGUGGGCAUUUAUUAG
rnacentral:lncRNA from 1 species